GAUGAACGCUGGCGGCGUGCCUAAUACAUGCAAGUCGAGCGAACGGACGAGUAGCUUGCUUCUCUGAUGUUAGCGGCGGACGGGUGAGUAACACGUGGAUAACCUACCUUUAAGACUGGGCUAACUUCGGGAAACCGGAGCUAAUCCCGGUUGAUAUUUUGAACCGCAUGGUUCAAAAGUGAAAGACGGUCUUGCUGUCUCUUAUAGAUGGAUCCGCGCUGCAUUAGCUAGUUGGUAAGGUAACGGCUUACCAAGGAAACGAUGCAUAGCCGACCUGAGAGGGUGAUCGGCCACACUGGAACGGAGACACGGUCCAGACUCCUACGGGAGGCAGCAGAAGGGAAUCUUCCGCAAUGGGCGAAAGCCUGACGGAGCAACGCCGCGUGAGGGAUGAAGGUCUUCGGAUCGUAAAACUCUGUUAUUAGGGAAGAACAUAUGUGUAAGUAACUGUGCACAUCGUGACGGUACCUAAUCAGAAAGCCACGGCUAACUACGUG
rnacentral:rRNA from 1 species